rnacentral:tRNA from 1 species
GGAGACAUAGCGCAGUGGUAGUCGCGUUUCCUUGACAUGGAAAAGGUCCUGGGUUCGAUCCCCAGUGUCUCCACCA